GUACUCGCUUUAGGAGCACAUAUACUAAAGUAAUGGAAUGAUAUAGAGAUUAUUAGCAUGGCCCCUGCACAAGGAUGACACUCAAAUUUGUGAAGCAUUCUGUAUUUUU
ensembl:snRNA U6 U6 spliceosomal RNA